rnacentral:tRNA from 1 species
ACUCUUCUAGUACAACUAGUACCUGUGACUUCCACUCACUUAAUCUUAACCUCUCGCCUUAAGGAAGAGUA